rnacentral:rRNA from 1 species
AGUCGAACGGUUAGUAGCAAUACUGAUAGUGGCGCACGGGUGCGUAACACGUAACUAACCUACCUAUAACUGGGGGAUAGCCCGCCGAAAGGCGGAUUAAUACCGCAUAAGCUGCUUGCCUGGCAUCAGGUGUUCAGUAAAGAUUUAUUGGUUAUAGAUGGGGUUGCGGGUCAUUAGCUAGUUGGUAAGGUAACGGCUUACCAAGGCGACGAUGACUAGGGGAGCUGAGAGGCUGGUCCCCCACACGGGCACUGAGAUACGGGCCCGACUCCUACGGGAGGCAGCAGUAGGGAAUAUUGGGCAAUGGGCGAGAGCCUGACCCAGCCAUGCCGCGUGCAGGAAGAAGGCUUUCUGAGUCGUAAACUGCUUUUGACAGGGAAGAAUAAGCUGUACGUGUACAGCGAUGACGGUACCUGCAGAAUAAGCACCGGCUAACUCCGUGCCAGCAGCCGCGGUAAUACGGAGGGUGCGAGCGUUGUCCGGAUUUAUUGGGUUUAAAGGGUGCGUAGGCGGCUUUUUAAGUCUGGGGUGAAAGCCCGCUGCUCAACAGCGGAACUGCCCUGGAUACUGGAGAGCUUGAGUACAGACGAGGUUGGCGGAAUGGACUGAGUAGCGGUGAAAUGCAUAGAUACAGUCCAGAACCCCGAUUGCGAAGGCAGCUGACUAGGCUGUUACUGACGCUGAGGCACGAAAGCGUGGGGAGCGAACAGGAUUAGAUACCCUGGUAGUCCACGCCGUAAACGAUGGAUACUCGCUGCGAGCUAAAGAUUGUUCGUGGCUUAGGGAAACCGAUAAGUAUCCCACCUGGGGAGUACGCUCGCAAGAGUGAAACUCAAAGGAAUUGAC